rnacentral:sRNA from 1 species
UUUUCCUGUGUGAAGCCUGAGAUCUCGUUCCUUAAUU